AAGAUAAAAAAUAAAAAAAAGCUGAUCUCGUGUGAUCUCAGAACUAAGCAGGGUCGGGCCUGGUUAGUACUUGGAUGGGAGACCGCCUGGGAAUACCAGGUGCUGUAACUUU
rnacentral:rRNA from 1 species